rnacentral:rRNA from 1 species
AUGAGUAACAAUGAACCUGAAAUCUGGAAGUUUAAAUGGGCCUCUGGACAUUACAAUGCUAAGAAGGUCUACCAUGAAUAUUUGGGAUGCCCUGAGAAAGCUCCUAAACUUUUCCAAUGGAUUUGGAAGUCUGGUUGCCUUCCUAAACAAAAAUUCUUUUUCUGGCUCCUUCUUCUGGACAGAUUAAAUACCAGAGAUCUUCUCACCAGGAAAAACUUCUACAUUGAGAGCUCCAUAUGUGUUUUAUGUGAUGAUGAGCCUAAUGAAUACAUGAAACAUCUCUUCUUCUCAUGUGACUUUAGCAAAAACUUUGGGUUAUCACUUGGCAAUCAAUGGAACACUGAUCUAAACUGCAAUGAUAUGCUCAUUGAAACCAGAAACAGAACUCAGAUUCAGCCCUUCAAAGAAUGCCAAAUUGCUGGCUGUUGGACAAUCUGGAAACACAGAAACAACAUCAUUUUUUAUAACAAGGAAAGGGACCUGAGUUAUUGUAUUUCCUACUUCAAGGAACAUUUUGGCACCAUCAUGAAAAGAGUCAAACCUAGUUUAAAGGAGGGAAUGCAAAGCUGGUUGGAUUAUUUGUGA